AGGCCAACAGGUGUGUGUGUGUGUGUGUGUUUGUUGGAUUGCAUUGUGUCGAUGAACAUCAAGGCUACAGGAUGGUUGUGAGUUACCAAAACAUUGUCACCCUUAUUUUACUAAUCACUGACUCAGUUUCAAUUGUAGAUACGCCUAUUGAAUUUAGUGUGAAGUUUUUGUUUGAUAUUUUCAUUGCAGUGCUUGAAGAAUGGUGUGGAGGCAGCAAUGCAGAAUUAACCAGCGACGACGAGCAACAUUGUAGCUUUUCUCGUCAUGCCCACAUGUUGUGCAGCUGCCGACCUACCCAAGCCGCCCUCGAUCAGUGCCAACUCCGUGAGAGAAAACUAUGGUAUUGGUCUCGUUCUUUUCGUUAUUACAUUUGUAAGGUUCUUCGUUCCCAUAGGAUUUAAGAUAGUGAAGUUACUAGAUGUAGGAAUUAUGGUAUACUAUGACUUCAACACAUUUUGUUGUUUCUUGACUUGUUUUAGUAAGAACUUCCGUGCUCGAGUCAUAACCAUGUACGAUUUCACCUUGCCCCAAUUACUCAAUCAGAAGUUCAGAACUUGUGGUAUUCGACAUGUUGUUGGCCCUCAACUUCCAUCAAUUAGCAUCCAAUUCUUCUCAAGACCAUGAAAUAUUUAUUUCUCACAGGUUCUUCUUCGGUCAAUUUCUCAGAUUAGGAGUUGAGUAAACAUCAAUAUGCUCAAGGUAAUGCACCCUACUUUGCAUAGUAAACGAUACUGGGCCAUUUUGAUUGCAAAACAUCUUUGAUAAACUGAAGAUGAUGCCACAACCCAGCUUUAGUUUAUAGAUUGCUGAGAGAUUGGCCAAUCUAAAAAAGAAAAUAUGGAUGCCAAGGUGAACAGUGGUGUGAUGUCUGUAGCUGGGACGUUGAAAAGUUUGUGUAAGUUCUUCUGGCUUUAUCUCAAAUAUUAAUUUCUUUGUACGCGUGUGCUUAUGUAGAAACAUCAAAUGUCUUAGAUAUCUUCUAGAAAAUCACGUGUUGAUGACAUUUCAGCAAAGAAGUGUGUAAUUUGCUUCUCAAUCUACAUUACUACUUAUGCUAUUUUGGUGCAAUGCUAUGUCUGAUAUCUUAUGACAGUCCUUGUAGAUUUUGUGUUGAUGUAAGUAUUGUACUAAACUCAUCUUUACGAUUAAAUACGGAGUUGCUAAGGGUCCUAUAGGUUGGAGAGACUAGUAUCCUAUUUUGUCAAGAUAGUAACUUCUUGUUCUAAAGUUUACUCUAUUACUUGUGUUCUAAAAUUUACCUUGUUUUACUAAAUUAUGUUGUUACUAAAUUUUUGCACUAUUGUACUAAAAUUUGCCUUGCUACUGUUGUACUAAAAUCUAACCAUUGAUUAGGAAGGAAGAGAUUAAGGGAGCAAAAAUAAUGAGGAAGGAGCGCUCAGAAGAAGUUACUAAAAAUCCACUUAAGGUGUGACCUUCACGUAACUCACAAAUCAUAAUCAGAUAUUCAUGAUAAUGGCACCAGACACAUGACAUCCAUUCGUAUAACUAUAUAUAGUAUAUUGUACUUGAUGCUAUUAUUGUUCCUUUUUAACAUGAUGCUUAUAUUGUUCCUUUUUAAAUUGAUGCUUAUAUUGUUUCUUUGAGCAUAAAGUAUAUAUUUAAAUUCUUGAAACCUUGCAUCUAUUUGUUCAGGAGAACUGCAGAUCUUUCUAUGAAAAUGAAGGUUGUGUUGUAUGCAGUACAUGUUUUUUUUCAAAGGAAGUACCUGAUAUCUUACAUUCUAUGUUUGCUUCAAGUUUACUUGAACUCAAUUGACAUCUAGCAGAUUUCUUCAUAAUAAAACAAGGAUCAAAAGUGUGUAAGAUGUAGGAUAUUGCUCCACUUUUCCGUCUGCAAUGUUACUAAUGUGAUAGCCUUCAACAUUUGUAUGUUGCUCCUCUACAUUUUUGUGCUCUGUUAACCUGAUUUUCUCUAUCGUAAAUUACUCAUUUCAUUAUUUGUUUUUGUAGAUUGCUGAGAUAAAUGGAGGAUGCAUGGCUCAGAUGUUGAUUGCAAGGCAUAGAAUGGGGAUAAUUAGAAUGUCAUUUUCAGGAAAAUGUUUGAAACAUUAUAGUUGAUUGGAAGGUCGAGAAUUUUGCUACUAGUAGAUAGCUCACAUCUUGUAAUGUUUGGAUCGUGCUCGGUGUAAUGCAACAUAGUUGAUUUAAUAUAUGCGAUCUUUCCGUUUAUUGUACUAUGCCUCCUAUACACUAUGUAUUGAACUAAUAAUUGUGGAUGGCAAUGUAUAAAAUAUCAUCAAUUAUUCAUGCUAUGUACCGAAGC
rnacentral:lncRNA from 1 species